UCCGGUUGAUCCUGCCGGAGUGCCACUGAUAUCGGAUUCUGAUUAAUGCCAUGCGAUAUCGAGAGGUGCAGGACCUCGAGCAUACUGCUCAGUAAGCACGUGGACGAUCUAACCUAUGGAAGGGGAUAACCCCGGGAAACUGGGUGAUAAUACCCUAUAGACUAUGGAGGCUGGAAUGCGCUGUAGUCGAAAGGUCCGCCGCCAUAGGAUGGGUCUGCGGCCGAUUAGGUUGUUGUUGGGGUAACGGCCCAACAAGCCUGUAAUCGGUACGGGUUGUGGGGGCAAGAGCCCGGAGAUGGAUUCUGAGACACGAAUCCAGGCCCUACGGGGCGCAGCAUGCGCGAAAACUUUACAUCUUGCGGGAAACCGUGAUAGGGGAACUCCGAGUGCCCGUAAAAUCGGGCUGUCCACCAGUUUAUAUAACUGGUGAAGAAAGGGCCGGGCAAGACCGGUGCCAGCCGCCGCGGUAAUACCGGCGGCUCGAGUGGUGGCCACUAUUACUGGGCUUACAGCGUUCGUAGCUGGUUUGUUAAGUCUCUGGGGAAAUCUUCCGGCUCAACCGGAAGGCGUCUCAAGGAUACUGGCAGACUAAGGACCGAGAGAGGUGAGGGGUACUCCAGGUGUACGAGUGAAAUCCUGUACAUCUUGGGGGGACCCCCUGUAGCGAAUGCGCCUAACAGAACGGUACGAAAGUAGGUGCAAAGA
rnacentral:rRNA from 1 species